rnacentral:rRNA from 1 species
GAUGAACGCUGGCGGCGUGCCUAAUACAUGCAAGUCGAACGCAUAGCGAAAGGUGCUUGCACCUUUCAAGUGAGUGGCGAACGGGUGAGUAACACGUGGACAACCUGCCUCAAGGCUGGGGAUAACAUUUGGAAACAGAUGCUAAUACCGAAUAAAACUUAGUGUCGCAUGACACAAAGUUAAAAGGCGCUUCGGCGUCACCUAGAGAUGGAUCCGCGGUGCAUUAGUUAGUUGGUGGGGUAAAGGCCUACCAAGACAAUGAUGCAUAGCCGAGUUGAGAGACUGAUCGGCCACAUUGGGACUGAGACACGGCCCAAACUCCUACGGGAGGCUGCAGUAGGGAAUCUUCCACAAUGGACGAAAGCCUGAUGGAGCAACGCCGCGUGUGUGAUGAAGGCGUUCGGGUCGUAAAGCACUGUUGUAUGGGAAGAACAGCUAGAAUAGGAAAUGAUUUUAGUUUGACGGUACCAUACCAGAAAGGGACGGCUAAAUACGUG